UGAUUUAUUUAAUCAGGACAAGUACGGUUUAUCUUUUUCUUUUCUCUGUAUUCUAGUAUUUGCUAAAUUUCUGUUACUUAAUUUGUUUCUUAAGCCAUUUCUUGAGUAUCUUUUUGCAUAGGCAAGAGUCCAUUUGUGAAGGUUUUUUUGGAAUGGUCUUCUGGUUUUUUGACCACUUGGCUAAUAGAUAUUUCAGGAAUAGAUUUUACGAUUUGUCAACCUCUUACUGCAUAUGAUCUGAUUGGCAGCAUACAAUGUACUUCUUGGAUAUUUCCCUUAUAAAAAGUGGAGCAAAUGAAUUUUCAAUUUUUACUGGAGUGCGUCAUAUAGUUAUGUUUUCUAACUGGUUUUAUAUGGCUCUUUAGCAUUGUUUGCCUUAUCAAUGAUGGACAAGAUAAGUAGUGGAGAUUAUUUAAGCCAUACCAUGCUACAAACCAUGCAGCAGUGUGAUGUUGUGCAAGAUCUCGUGACAAUUUUUUCCACUGUUUAAAUCUUUAGUCCUAUUUUAUUUACUUAAUUUCUUGUAUAUGUUUUAUUAUUCUUUCUCAGGUAUCUCAAUGCCAUUCAAA
rnacentral:misc_RNA from 1 species